rnacentral:lncRNA from 1 species
CAAAAGAUCUAAAUUUUACGUAAUGGAUCCCGUCCCGAUCGUCCCCUCACACGUGGCACUGCCGCGUAAACAAUGCCACAUCGUAGAGAAAGCAUAAGGGGGAGGCCAUCGGGAGAUUAUCCCGAGAAUUCAAACUAUUCUUGUAAUGUCGUACGAGCCUCGUUCCGUUCGCUCUUUCAUGCGCAGCAUUACCGGUGUAAAUGUAAUAAUGCCGCACAGUGAACAAGCAAAAGGGGAAGAGAGUCUCCGGAUAGCCGUUACAAUCCAGUAACGACUUAACGCAGAUUACUCCUGCAUAAGCGUCUCUGCGAUGAGGGGAGAAGAAACAUGGGGCAUAGACGAUGUGCUGCUGAGAGUCACAAUGCGGAUCAUCAGGGUCUCCCGUCACCUGGAAACCACCAGACCGUAGACUGAGUAUCCGAGGGAAACUGAAUAUAAAUCUGGCCCGAAUACAAGGAAUCCUGUUCGGGAUCCUCGGUGUUCAUUGGCCCUCUGCAGCUCUUCACAUGCUUCAUGGAGUUUGUCUACAUAGUCCGUCUGCUUCCUGCGUCUUCUCCGAGCGGCGUCACGAUUCCUUUUUCUCCUCCUUUCCAGCUUCUGUUUCUCCUCCUCAGAUAGGCCGUCAGGGAAGGGGUGUUUGGAGGGGCUGUUGGGGAUGUCGUGACUUUUCCUUUUUUUCCGUCUCGAAGUCGACCCGAGAGAAAGAUCGAGGGGGGACGGAUCGUCAGCGGGACUGUAGGGCAUAGCGCCCGGCUCUGGCUCCUGAGACAUCUCUUUACACCUGUACCGUGCCCGCCUUCUCCCUGGUAUACACCUGCAAGAGACGCCUGCCUAGGAAUCAGUGUGCGGAAUUUAUUCUUAACAUUCCAGCACCAACCUCCCCGAACCAAAAUAAUAAUUAAAAAAGCAACACCCACAGACCCGAAAGUAUUGAAGAAUUACACGUUCGCGAACGGUCACAAUUCACCUGUCAUUUUAUAAAGGAGCAAUAGUUUAUUUAAGAGAUGUUUCAAUACCACCACAAACAGUAGACGACCACGAUACACACAUCUACCCGAUAUGUUACACUCCCGGAGAUCAGGUCUCUUAGUUAUCCGGGAAUGAUUACCUUACCCGCACUUUGGUUCUAAAUGUCACGAUCGAAAAGCCGGCUGGUAGAGGGAUCGGGCGAAAAGAUCGGGGAGCGGACGGACUGAGCCUUAAGUAGAAUAACUGGCGCGCAGCCAGAUCCUGUAUGAAAGGAUCAAACCCGGCCGAACGCUCUCGAAAUAUAACACACCCCCUCCCCCGCCGCUACUGGUCCGGAAAUCAUUGAGUUUAGUGGCAAACGACAAACAGACAAAAAUUGUAGAUGCCGCCAGCUAGUUGAGAAGCGCACAGAACAUAUAUCGAGACGCAUGAAGCAACCGACACCGCAAGUUAAUUUACGGCGGUUACUGUACAUUUGCAGUAACUUUUUUUAACCUUGAUCGUACCGUACGCGAAGGGGAGUAUACGAAAGAUAAAAUGAACACGCAUACAGUGAACCAAUAUCCGUAACCUUUUAAUGCUCGACCGAUUUACAGGAUGAGGCUGAAAAAUAUACAUACAUUCAAAAUAAUUAGAAAAACAAAGACAAUGAACGUCCCCGCUACACGUCCGCGUUCGUCUCGGCGACCGCCGUACUUCCGCAAUCGUUUACAGAAGCGUCAUAUCCGUUCUAUUUCCGCAAACAAAGACUUUGAGACAGGAUUUCCGUGUUGUCGUGUCCGGUCAUACAUUCUAUGUAAACAAGGAAGUUAUCCCCUUUGCUUCCGUAUUAUCGAUAAUCGGCUCCGAUCCCGAUUCCGCGGACCAAGCAUUGGCUGCAAACUAUAUCGGAAUGCGCCAGACCUUCUUUGCGCGUCUCCAGACACUUCUGCGAUCGCAGACGAAGAAGCCUGACGUAGGCGGACGGCAAACUUUCGCCAUGUGUACUGCUUGUAUGCUACAACGGCCAAUCGUGUUCCACAUGCAUGCGACUGCAUGUUUAGGUCUCACCCCUCUCGAACCCUACAACAUCUCCGCUCCAUGUGAUCCGAAGGGAGAUCGAAGAUCGUAGACUCUCUACAUACACCGGCCUCAAUAUACCACGACCGACAGAGAAAGUUGGGGAAGGUUGUCGCAGUAUCCGUUUCGAGAUGGAAAGUGGGUCCGCAGUCAAUGCAUCCGGGGUCUGCAACGAUAUCACAGCUGUAAUCAACACGGAUGUAUUUAUCAUGUACAAAGACGGAAGCGCGGGGACGUUGAUGGAGGAGUUGCAAACCUGACGUCACAAAACAGCUACGCAGCAAAAGCAGGUAAAGUAUAACCAUAAUCGUGCAACAACGCCCAAAUAGUUUAAAUGGUGCAAUUCGUCAAUAAAUGAAAGUUUCAUGUCGUGUAU